GCAACGGCGUGCCUUCCGUGCGUUCCUAUUUCGAUGGGUUUUUAUAUUUAUUAAUUGUUUUUGGUUCGGUUCAUAAAUUGUAUAUACUUCAAUGGAGCUGGUUGAAUGGAUUACAAAUUUGAACUGCAGAAGAUCAUUUACAUUUAUAAGAGAAGUGAUUCGAGAUUGAAUUGCAUGCUGCCGUGUUCUACGCCAACCGAACUUAAAAACUAUGCUUGACAUUUAGGUUACAUGAAUAUGAAAUGUUGUCUGUGCCAAAGUAAGAGCUUUGGAAGAGGGUAUAAACAUUCAUCUAAGCAUAAUUGAAAGGGAAUUUUUAUCAGAUGUUGUUGUCACAAGUGCACUGCUAGACUUGUAUGUGAAAUGUGGAAGCUUAUACAAGGUGCGCAAACUGUUCAACAAAUUGUCUGAAAGAAAUUUGGUCUCACGGAAUGCAAUGAUUGCAGGGUAUGCACAACAUGGUGUUCUUGAAGAGGCUAUAAGGUUUUUCAAAGAAAUACCUCAACCAGAUGUCAUUUCAUGGACUCCAAUGGUUGCCAGUUAUGCACAACAUAGUAUUCUCGACGAGGCUUUAAAGGUUUUUUAAGGAAAUACCUUAAAGAAAUGUGGUUUCGUGGAAUGCGAUGAUGGCAGGAUUAGCCCAAAAUAGAUUUCUUGAAGAAGCUUUCUAUAUUUUCAAAGAUAUUCCUCAAAUAAAUGUGGUCUCGUGGAUUGCAAUGGUUGCAGAAUAUUCACAAAAUGGGUUUGUUGAAAAGCCCUUUGAAACUUUAAGGAAAUGCAACUGGCAGGUGUAAAGACAGAUUCCACAACCUUUGCGAGCGUUCUCCCAACCUGGGCCCAAAUGGGAACUUUAGAACAAGGAUAUGCACAAAGUGGGUUCUCUAAAAAAAGUCUUGGAGACACUUGAAAAAAUGCAAUUAGCGGGAUUAAAGGCAAACUCCAUAACCUUUGUCAGCAUCCUCCCAGCCUGUGCCAAAAUGGAGCUUUAGAGCAGGGUAUGGACAUCCAUGGAAGCAUAAUCGAAAGCAGGUUUUUGUCAGAUGUCAUAGUUGCAAGUGCCCUGCUUUAUAUGUAUUGAAAAUGUGGAAGCAUAUAGAAAGCACGUGAACUGUUUGACAAAAUGCCCCCAAAAAAACCGUAAUCUCAUGGAAUGCUAUGAUUGUAGGAUAUGCACAGAAUGGCUUUUGCAGGGAUGGUAUCAAACUCUUUCAACUAAUGAAGUACUCUGGAACAUACCCUGAGUAUAUAAGCCUUACUUCUAUUUUAUUUGCAUGUAGUCAUGUAGGUUUAGUGGAUGAGGGGUGCAAAUACAUCAAUGACGUGAGCUUCUCUUAUUGCAUUACACCUACAAACACUACUAUCAGAAAUAACGAUUUGCUCACAAUGUCAGAACUAUGCUAACACUAUGGAAGAAACAUUUGGUUAGCCCCGACUCGGUGGUGCAUCAUUUGCUUUCCUUUUUCUGCCACUAUAUUCUGCAUGCUUAUCUGCCAUUGAGCUGUCGAGUAAAAAGAUAUAGAGAAUGUGGUAUGGAACCAUCAAGAAAAUGAUUCCUUUGUAACUAUGAUUCUGUGAGUAUGAUGCAAGGAGAUGUUGAAUCUAAGUCAUGGACAUUAGAGACUUGUUAGUAGAAAAGAUGCAUAGCUAUUAGCGGAAGAGAUGCAUAGCUAUUAAUGCAUGUAGUGUCAUUGUUUAUCCUAUUGCUAUGGGCAUGACAAGUCGUGUAAUAGUCCAACAAGUAUGGUUUUUACACAUAUUUUUCAUACACAUUUAGACAAGAUUUAAUGACAACUAAUUUCAGAUGCCAAUAGGUUUUGUGAAGUUGCUCAUAUCUUUUGUAAGAAGUGGCUAUAAAUAUGACAUGCUCACCUCAAUGUGGACAAGGAAGAUUGUGAGGAAGAUUGUUUGUUUGCAGCCCAA